rnacentral:rRNA from 1 species
UACAGAGGUCUCAAGCGUUGUUCGGAUUCAUUGGGCGUAAAGGGUGCGUAGGCGGCGCGGUAAGUCGGGUGUGAAAUCCCCAGGCUUAACCUGGGAACUGCAUCCGAUACUGGUCGGCUUGAAUCCGGGAGAGGGAUGCAGAAUUCCAGGUGUAGCGGUGAAAUGCGUAGAUAUCUGGAGGAAUACCGGUGGCGAAGGCGGCAUCCUGGACCGGCAUUGACGCUGAACAGCGAAAGCUAGGGGAGCAAACGGG